rnacentral:rRNA from 1 species
AUUGAACGCUGGCGGCAUGCCUUACACAUGCAAGUCGAACGGUAACGGGCCUUAGGGUGCCGACGAGUGGCGGACGGGAGAGUAAUACAUCGGAACGUGCCCGCUCGUGGGGGGUAACGGGGCGCAAGCUUUGCUAAUAGCGAAUACCAUCUACGGAUGAUAGCAGGGGACCGCAAGGCCUUACGCGGCCGGAGCGUCCGAUGGCAGAUUAGGUAGUUGGUGGGAUAAAAGUGUACCAAGCCGACGAUCUGUAGCUGGUCUGAGAGGAUGAUCCCCCACACUGGGACGGAGACACGGCCCAGACUCCUACGGGAGGCAGAAGAGGGGAAUUUUGGACAAUGGGGGCAGUCCUGAUCCAGCCAUGCCGCGUGGAGGAUGAAGGCCUUCGGGUUGUAAACUGCGUUUGUACGGAACGAAAAGCCUUCUUUUAAUACAGGAGGGUCAUGACGGUACCGUAAGAAUAAGCACCGGCUAACUACGUG